rnacentral:rRNA from 1 species
GAUGAACGCUGGCGGCGUGCCUAAUACAUGCCAGUCGAGCGAACGGACGAGAAGCUUGCUUCUCUGAUGUUAGCGGCGGACGGGUGAGUAACACGUGGAUAACCUACCUAUAAGACUGGGAUAACUUCGGGAAACCGGAGCUAAUACCGGAUAAUAUUUUGAACCGCAUGGUUCAAAAGUGAAAGACGGUCUUGCUGUCACUUAUAGAUGGAUCCGCGCUGCAUUAGCUAGUUGGUAAGGUAACGGCUUACCAAGGCAACGAUGCAUAGCCGACCUGAGAGGGUGAUCGGCCACACUGGAACUGAGACACGGUCCAGACUCCUACGGGAGGCAGCAGUAGGGAAUCUUCCGCAAUGGGCGAAAGCCUGAUGGAGCAACGCCGCGUGAGUGAUGAAGGUCUUCGGAUCGUAAAACUCUGUUAUUAGGGAAGAACAUAUGUGUAAGUAACUGUGCACAUCUUGACGGUACCUAAUCAGAAAGCCACGGCUAACUACGUG